GGGCCGGUAGCUCAGUAGGCAGAGCAGGGGGCUUUUAACCUCAAGGUGGUCGGUUCAAGCCCGACCCGGCUCACCA
rnacentral:tRNA from 1 species